AUUUCACGCUGCUGAAAAAAGUUUCGUAGGAAGAAAAUAUUGCCCGUACCGCAAACCGACACAGGUACUCGAGUGGAGAACACUAAGGUGAGCGAGUGAACUAUUGUUAAGGAACUCUGCAAAAUGAGUCCGUAACUUCGGAAGAAGGACUGCUGGUUUUAUACCAGCCGCAGCAAAUAGGCCCAAACAACUGUUUAUCAAAAACACAGGUUUCUGCAAAAUCGUAAGAUGAAGUAUAGGGGCUGACGCCUGCCCAGUGCUGGAAGGUUAAAAGGAGGACUUAGCUUCGGCGAAGGUCUUAAUUGAAGCCCCAGUGAACGGCGGCCGUAACUAUAACGGUCCUAAGGUAGCGAAAUUCCUUGUCGGGUAAGUUCCGACCCGCAUGAAAGGCGUAAUGAUUUGGGCGCUGUCUCAACAAUAGACUCGGUGAAAUUUAAAUUCCAGUGAAGAUGCUGGGUACCCGCGACAGGACGGAAAGACCCCGUGGAGCUUUACUGUAGCUUGAU
rnacentral:rRNA from 1 species